rnacentral:tRNA from 1 species
GACACUGUGGCGGAGUGGUUAACGCGGUGCCCUGCUAAGGCAUUGCCUUCGGCGCGCAGGUUCGAAUCCUGCCGGUGUCG